UACAGAGGUCUCAAGCGUUGUUCGGAUUCAUUGGGCCUAAAGGGUGCGUAGGCGGCGCGGUAAGUCGGGUGUGAAAUCUCGGGGCUUAACUCCGAAACUGCAUUCGAUACUGCCGUGCUUGAGGACUGGAGAGGAGGCUGGAAUUUACGGUGUAGCGGUGAAAUGCGUAGAUAUCGUAAGGAAGACCAGUGGCGAAGGCGGGUCUCUGGACAGUUCCUGACGCUGAGGCACGAAGGUCAGGGGAGCAAACGGG
rnacentral:rRNA from 1 species